CCUACGGGGGGCAGCAGUGGGGAAUUUUGGACAAUGGGCGAAAGCCUGAUCCAGCAAUGCCGCGUGUGGGAAGAAGGCCUUCGGGUUGUAAACCACUUUUGUACGGAACGAAACGGUUCGCUUUAAUACAGUGGGCUAAUGACGGUACCGUAAGAAUAAGCACCGGCUAACUACGUGCCAGCAGCCGCGGUAAUACGUAGGGUGCGAGCGUUAAUCGGAAUUACUGGGCGUAAAGCGUGCGCAGGCGGUUAUAUAAGACAGUUGUGAAAUCCCCGGGCUCAACCUGGGAAUUGCAUCUGUGACUGUAUAGCUAGAGUACGGUAGAGGGGGAUGGAAUUCCGCGUGUAGCAGUGAAAUGCGUAGAUAUGCGGAGGAACACCGAUGGCGAAGGCAAUCCCCUGGACCUGUACUGACGCUCAUGCACGAAAGCGUGGGGAGCAAACAGGAUUAGAUACCCUUGUAGUC
rnacentral:rRNA from 1 species